UUAUUCAAAUGCUAUCAGUUUAAUCGCGACUUUGUCAUUGUUCGGUUGUCGUUGCUCGCGUUGUUGGGGCAAAGUAUUGUCUGCUUGUCUUCCCAUUGGCACUGUCAAUCAAUCGUCGGCACACUUUUGGGUUUUUCAACUUAUUGACCACGUCUUAGGGAAAUAAAUGCACUUAAAUCGAAUGAUGGAUGAUCUCAAUAAAACUUACGGUGUUUUCUCGAGUAAGCAGCCUAAGUGAAAAUUUUGUGAAAUGCAAAUGAAAUGAACUUUUCGUUGUCGCCUACUUCGAUUGAAUUGGAUCGUACGUGUGCCACUUUGCGCUUAUUUUAGAGCUGCCUGCACUGCCGCGAAAGUGGGAAGCGGGAGUUCUCAUCGACACAUUGCAUGUUGUAGAUAUUUGAUGAAAACAAAAAAUUGUGUUUUUUUCUCAAUUCCUCUUUCGUUCCUAAUGAAAGAAAGGCACAUUUGUGAAAAUCAUCGAGCAGUUAAGAAAUAUCCAAAAAUCCAAGUGGCUGCUGAGUAUUGCGGCUGAGUGUGUUGUGAGUGAGGAAAAAAAACAGCAGCCGGAAAAAAUAUACUCGAGUUGCUGUUGUUAUUUAACGGGAAUUGUUAAAAUAAUCAAAGCUGUUUUUAAGAAAAAUAUUUCAAUUUUAACAAAGCAAAUACAAAUAAAGACAAAUUUAACAACACAUAAAUAUAUCAAAUUUGGAAUCGCAAUAACAACAACAAAAUUCGUGGCAACAAGUUGUACACUUUCGGCACGAUGGAGGGCGGCUAUGUGAAUGAAGGUGAGUGUUGCAUCAAACAUUUGUUAAAUUGUUGAAAAUAUGAGAAAUGCACAAAAACCAAAAAUAAAAUAGGAAAAACAAAAAAAAAGUAAUAAAAAAUAAAAAAGCCAAACAAAGCCAAAAGCAUGCUUAAUACCGCACUUAUGUAUAUAGGUAUAUCGGAUAUGUGCUUAGAUAGUUUUUGUUGCUGAUCGUUCAUUCAGUUAGCAUUUUGGUCUCAUUGAAUAGAUUUUCUGUUUGCUUUGA